GAGGGGCUCGGCAGGUGCCGCGUCCCUCCGGGGCUCUGUGUGCCACCCCUAGAGGGCUCCCGCCUUCCUUCGGCCGCAGCGAGCCGCAGAGCCCGGCAGAGUCUGCGGGAACCUGGCAGGGGAGCCCCUGCCUGGGCUGUGCUGUCCUUCCUUUAGUGUUUUCCUCCUUUUUGCAUCUCUUAGUCAAGAUUAAAAAAUUCUGAAGCCUUCUUUAUAUAGGAUAUAGAAGGCAUUUCUCUGUGUUUUUCUACAAAGAGAUGCCUCUUUUUUAAUCUUUUAGUUGACAGCCCAGUUCCUUUAUGAAACCACAUUCUGGUGUCAAUGUGGGGAAAGGAAAAAAUAAUUCUAACAAUGGAUGAGAAGACAGUUCAGGCUUUCUGCCUAAUUAAUUAUAGUCAUUUAAAAUCUUGAGCAAAGUCUAUGCUUGGAGAAGUUCUAAGUUAUAAUUAAACCAUGCUGCUAACGAUGGAUCUAAUUGUUGGGUUACAGACAAGCACAGGUAACACAAGUUGGGCCACUGACAACAGAUAUUUUACCCAAUUGUUUUCUGUUGAUGCAGCUAAUUCCACACAACUGUUCCAGCAGCCAGAAUGACCAGCAUGGGGUGAGUGCAGAGGCAUGUUAGGAGUUUUCCCUGACAGACUUGACUGGCACAAGGUCAUUGGUCUUUACAGGUUCCAUGUCCUCUGUGGUGCUGGCUGUCAGAAGGCUCCCUGGAGCACAGCUGCUUUAGCCCUGCUCCUGCUGAACCCCUACAAUGACAGACUUGGAGACAGGAGAAUGGGUCAGCCACUGAGAUGACUCUGCCAAUUCUUUCUUUCUACCCUAUAGCUUUCUGAAGAACAGAAAUGGUGCCAUUGAGAUCAAGGUCAAAUUCAACAGUGAAAGCAGGCUUUGGUGUUGCGCUGGUGAGUCUGCUUUUAAAACUAAACAGUAAUUCUCUCCCUCUCUCUGUCCCCCCUCCAAAGGAUUUCCAUCUCUUCAAAGUGAGAGAAAUAUCAACUCAUAUAUAAGUAUGAGUUACUCUUACUGUAGAUCUAGGACUGGUUGCCUGUACAAUUUUUAGGCCUAAUGGAUCAGGACACUAAAGUGAGUAUCAAAUUCCAGAAAUUCAGUACUAAGGUGACAUUUAAAGUCUAAAUACAAGGUGUUUGAAAGUUACCAGCUAAAUCACUGAAACAAUGUUCCUGCUGCACACGGCAGUGAUACCAGAAAUUUGUAAGGAAAACAUUUCAAGUGCUGGAUUUUGUACUGACACUAAAACCUUUGGAAAACAGUUUAAUCUUCCUCCCCAUACCAAUUAUGUUCUUCCUCAUGGGGAAGUUUAUAAGGCUGGGUUUUGCCUAAAUUGUAGCAUUUCAAUUUGUCUUGGUUUUGUUUGCUUUCUAAGGUAAAGAGGUUAUAGAUCUGUGUUCCCAGUCCUAAGAUUUGUAAUUGGUGGUUUUUACUUUUUUAUUUACUUGGUAAUGCUAGCAAGAGAUUGGAAAGGACUGUUUUCUGCAGGGCAAAGUAGACAUGAAGGGGAUCUGGGCAAUUUAGUGGUUUUUACUUUUAGGUAGUUUAAGGAAGAGCUAAUGAAUACACCCUAAUACAAAUAUUAACAAAAAGUCUUUGUUUCUUCCUCCUACUAAUAAUCACCUUUUGUAAUGGAAGACACAUUGCAGAAGCUGCCCCUGCCAUUAGAAAAUUGUCUUCUAAUAUUUUAUUGUUAAUGACCUUUUAAGUCAGUGAGCUAUUCCCACUAGCAGUUGGCCAGGCCAGGAUGUGCAUUAGCAGGCUAAUGGCAGGCAGCCUUGCUGUGUCUCAUGGCAAUCCUCUGGAGCUGGUUGCAUCACUUGGAGCACUUAAUACUGCCUUUAGCUCUGCUAAAGCACUUCUUGUGCUCCCAUCACCUCCUUUGGGAGACUGCUCCAUUGACAAACAGAUCUCACUGUCAGGAAGUGUCUUUCCUGUUCUUCAGUCUUACUGAUCUCGGCUCCAAAAUAUAUAACUGUAAGUUCUUUGACUACUCUUCAAUGAAAAGUUUAAAAAAGAAAAAAAAAAAAAAAGAACAAAAGUGAUCACACUUGUAUAAAAAAAUAAACUGAAAUAACUUGGUUUCCAGUCUUUACUGUAAAACUUGUAGAACUUGGGGUUUUAGUUAAAUGCUGCCUGCAGAUAUUUUUGGCUGAUGGCAGCAGGAUCUUGAAGCUGGCUAGCAUUAAAUCCACUCAUAAAUAAAACUACUGCGCCUUUGGGUCUGUCAGGGACUGAUGUGUGUGCCUGUGUCAUGUACAAAAGCUGGCAGCUAAUGAAAGCCACACAGAGCUGCUCAGGGAAGUUUGUGAGGUUACACAAUACACUAGCUGAGAUGUCACAGGAAAGCCAAGGGCUGGGGGUGUGGAGGGAGGACCACCGGAGCUGCAUUUUGCAGAAAAAUGGUGUCAGCACAAGAGCAGCCUGCAAAACUCCCGGGCUGGGCAGGGGGAGCCCUCCACAGCCCGGGAGAGAGGCUGGUGUGCAGGAAGUAGCUGGAGAGGGGUUUUCACAAGGACCUGUUGUUUGGUUGUUCAGAUUAUAUCAGUGUUCUGGCUAUUGAGAGGGAUUUGGCCUUUGGGUUUUGCUUUCGGCUUUAUUUAUUUUUGCUUGUUCUCAAUUCUCUUUGUGAAUACCAAUAUUCUGAGUCACUCAGAAUGAUUUCUGCCUUCAUUAAAGAUUCCUUCCAGCUCCCCUUCUACUGCCUGUAGGCUGGUGCCUGCCCUGCCUCCCCCUUUGCACUUUGCUGCACAUAUUUAGCUCUCAGUAUUCCACCACUUCUCAACUCCUGCAGCUCUGGCACCUGAGUACCUUCAGUUCUUUGCACAAUUUGUGUUAAUCUGAUCUCUUCUGCAUUGUUCUUGCACUGUCCCACAUGUUUCCCGUGGUAUGAGGCUACAGUUUAUCCCAGUGCUACAGCAGCUCUGCUUAGAGCUGAUUGAGUGAAAUGCUUCAACCUGGAAACCAGGCAUCCAGUGUAACUGUUUCUGGUACACAGCUCCUCCUGUGUCACCCGUAAUGAAUCCAUUUACCUAUUUGCCUUUGUUUCUUUAAUAUGCAUUGGUGUUGAAACUGUCUAUGGUAUCUACACCAAACAGGGCCAUGUUUCUCUAAAACCAAAAUUAAAAGAUGCACUAUACCAAAAAUGUAAUUGUAUAGUGCUUUAAGGGAUGUUCCUAUAUGAACUGCUGAGCUCUGUCACACUCUAAGGCUCAUGUGUAAGAAAAUACAAAUCAAUAAAGAAAAUAACCUGGGAAGGAGGAUGGGUCACUGUGUCAAUACUGUAGAUGCCUUAGAGCUUGUUAAUGACUGUCCCUAAUGGUAUUCAAACAAUCUACGUUUGCUUUAGCUUUUUUCAAAGUCCAGAUGAGCUGCUCAGAGCUCUCUUAAUGAUGUGAAUUAUUUAAUGCUCAUUUGUAUGCAGUAUGUUCCUGCUUUGAAAGUACUUCACAGAAUUGGAACCAAAUUCAGCCUUGCAGCUCCACUGAAGUCAGUGCUUGUCUGUGCAUCUGUUGGUUGCCUCUCUUUUUUGUUUUGAUUGAAGAGUUACCCUCUUGUUAUGCUGAUAAUAUUUUUUUAAAGGUAAUAUCUGCAAAGGAUUUUUCAUCACUCUUCUCUCCUCCCAAAAAAUCAGCUGUAAGUACAGAAGCAGUUCUGCUGAUUCUCACAUCUCCCUCUUAACCCCUGCAAACUAAGCAGAAUACAAUUUUGGUGUUCUUUUCUUUCCUUUACUUUGCACCUCCUAAGCACAGUUUCAGUGGUAUCUGGCACUUCUCCUGAAAAUCAUCCUGCAAAGAAUCUUUGCCAUCUGAUGUAUGCAAGAUAUUCUCUGUGGCCCAUUUCUUGUUUAACACAACAUGAAUUGGUGGAGACCAAAGUCUUCAACAAUUCUGCAGGUUGGUUUUGCUCAGUGUAACAAUGUCAGGAUGUAUUUUCUUGUUAUUGAGAGCAACAGGCAGAGGAGCCUACCUGAAAUUUUGAAUUAAAGUAGCUGCUGAAAGGUGAAACAGACUCUCUUAGUUCAAGCACAAACUCGUUUUUAGCUAGACUUGAUACUUGCAGUAUUCUUGUAAUGUAGUUUUUCAGUCAUCCCAACCAUGUUUUUAGCACACACACUGAAGAAAAUAAAGAAUCAUUGCAAAGAUAUUGUUCACUCCCUCUGGGUAACGAGUAGGGCAUGAUUUUCAGCUUGCAGCACAGACCCACAGCCAUCUACUGCCUGCACAGAGGAAGUGGGAGGAAUGGAAAAGCAACCUUUCUAGAUGUGCAUGUCACUAGAAUGGGCAGAGACGUUUCUUGUCAGGUGUUAGAGAUUUGCUGGCAGCACAGGGAUGAGUGCUGAGACGUGGGAAUAAUGGGUUCAUUUCCAAGCUCCACAGCAGAUCAGCAGAUCAAUCUAGAUGCCCUGAUGCCCUGUUUUACAUAAUGGAGUGUAUGACUGCUUCCUCUUUCCCUUUUCUGCAGUACUGCCCUCCAGCUCCUGCCUGGGUUAAUUUGGAUGUUCUCUAUUGCUCACUCCUUCCCUGCUCCCCUCAACUCCUCCCUCCCCACUGCUUGCCCAUCCCUUUUGGCCUGCAUCUCUUCCCUCUCUCCUGCUGGGAUGGAUGUAAUCCUCAGUGGAAUGUGGCCUACAGGCCUCUGCAGGACUUGGGCGUGUGGCUCUGGAGAGCCACUGAUGCCGAAUGUAAAGCAGGAAAACACAGCCUCCUAUCACCUGGCAGCCCAGGGAGGGAAGAGCUGGAUAUCUGUGGGCUGUUCAGUGUGCCUGGAUGUCCAGACAGCUUAUCAGAUGAAAAAUAGAGGCCAGACUUUUAGGCUUCAUGUGCCAUUUCCCUAUUCAUUGUGUCUGGGUGAUGUAUUCUCGGCCUGUGGUUUGAAUAAAUAUCUUUCAUAGCUACUUUCUGCUUCAGUCCCCCUUGGGACAGCUCUUUCCAACUCAGCUGCAUCAGUGUGCUGAAGAUGUGAAGUCCAAGUGUGUGGAACAGAGGAAAGAGGAGAGAGAACUUCAUGCAGAACAUCUAAGAAGCUUUAGCUUCAAUCAUAUUUCUGUGAAAGCUGCUGCACACAACACAAGCUUCACCUGCAGUGUAAGUUGCACACAAAUCUCUUACUCAGGACUCUUCUUCCCUUUCCUCUUUGUAUUUAUAUGUUCACAGAGUAUUCAAAGUAUUUGCAAGGAGAAUCCCAAGCUACUGGUGGGACCCAACCUUUGCAUUUGGGAUGUUGGUGUGUUUUAGAGAGUAUCCUGGAAAAGUAACAGGGAUGUAAUGGAAUAAAGAAAUCACAAUUCUGUCUGGGGAAACUGAGUUUUGUUUUAUGUAGUAAGCACCCAUCUCAACCCUGCUAGAGCUGAACAAACCCCCUUCUCUAGCAGAAACCCGAGUUGUUGUUAAUUAACGUCUUGCUGAAAACUAAGUCUUUGCCAUCUGUUCCGCCACCUCACUACGAAUGCUGCUCUCAUGUUGAUUAUGUAAGUAAAAAUGAAAAUAUAUUUUGGUAGAGUGCUGCAUGGCACUGUGCUGAUUCUUCUCCUGUUUCUAUUUACCAUUCCCAGCCCCCAUCCCACAAGGAAAGGAAAAGGUGACAAUUUGCUAAACAGAACUAAAUGCUCAGAUACUUUCAAAAAGCGUCAGAAGCUGCUUUCAUCUCGGCAGCUUUAUCCUGGAGCUGCUGUCCUGGCUGCUGAGCCCUGCAUGUUGUGGGAGCAGCCACCUCACCCUGCUGUGUUUGAGCCCUGAGCCCUUUGCAAACCCUGCCUAUUAUUAGGUUCCUGAAAAAGCCAUGGUGGGAAGAUGCCCCUUAAGGUGAAGCUGCUCUGAAUUCUUGUGAGGGGUUAACUUGAAAUGCAGAAGAAGAAAAGUGAAAAGGAAGGCCCGGUUACUCCAUAAGUGAUAGCCUGACCUCUGGGAGCAGCCUGCUGCUCCUGUUACAAGCGUAGCCUCUGUCUGUCCAAGGGUGGAGAAGGAGAGAAAGAGGAGGGGUAGCUUUCCUGUAAGUGGGUUAGAGCAAUUACUGAGGUCUCUUACAGCAAAUGAAGUUGUCAGUGUGAGUCACAUUCCCUUUUUUCUCUCACUGCCAAGUUUUAGGUAUAACCAGACAGAGAGAGAGAAAAAAAAGGAAAAGCAACAAUGGGGUAAAGUUGAACUGGAACAACCCUUCAUUCGGGGUAUUGUUUGAUGUUUUAGCUCUGAUUGUACAUAGAGAUAAAGGAUCUAUAAAUAUCCUGUCUGCUGAAAUUCCUUAUCACAACAUCGCCUGUCAGCUGAACAAAUAGGUUAGGUUCUCAAAUAAUACAUAAUUACAAUUAUGUAUGUAAAUACAAAAUUACUGAUUAAAUCCCUGCAAUAUCACAUGCAACGGAGCCUCAUCACUGGAGACCACAUUAACCUCUUGUGGUGCACUAGAGCUGCCUCAGCCUUAGGACAGCAAGUGGCACAUGCAGCUGUUAGUGCUGAAACAGCAGGAGCUUGGAGACUGGGCUGGAAUAAGCAAGGAGAUAUUUAUCUGCAUGACUAGGCUAGAUGAAAGCAUCUUCUGACACUUUUUGAAAGUAUCUGAGCAUUUAGUUCUGUUUAGCAAAUGUCUGGAACCUUUUCUACUCUGCUUUAGAGCUUUUAAUGAAGCAUUGUGAUUCCCAUUGUGGUCAAUUGUUUGACACUUUUAUUAUUACUGGUAUGCAGAGCGGUUUUUAAUGUUUGACAGCUGGAGAAAGAAGUAUUUUGUGCAUUGAAACUUUUAGCACAAAGCUGCUGUUUUCCAUUCUGCCUUUGUCUUUUAUUCUUGCUGAUGCAAAUCAGCAAAAGACAGAACUGAUUAAAUUACAUUUGUUUAUUUCUUCCUUGAUGAUAAUAAGACACAGCCUGCCUUUUAUAAAAGAAAUAGAGGAUGUGACUGUUUCUACAGUAUUUCUAGAAAGGCUUUUUUUCCCCUUACAAGAUAAAGGCAUUUAUUUGUUUCUAAUGUCUUGAUUUAGCAGAUAAUGUGCACUUCCUAAUGUGUGUGGAACAAGAAUAGAGCUAUGAAGGACAGUUAGCAAUGAAUUCCAUUUGGAAAGCUUCUAUCUUGUUAUUUUUAUUAAUCCAACAGUAUAAAUUAGCAGAACACAUCACAAAACAAACACAGCAAGAUACUUCUGUCCUUCACAGUAGGCCUGCUGAUCACUGCACAGAGCAGUGCCCUCCAUUGCAGGCUUUGGGUUUAUACAGCCACAGUCCUGCUACUGGGUCCUGCCUUCAGGGCACUGGUACCACUGCAGAGAAAGGAGAGGCACAAAUAGGAUUCCCAGGAUUGUUUUGGUGAGUAAUGUGCAUGUCUUGGGGAUUGUGUAAUUUUAUUUUUUUUUUUUUGAACACUUGUCCUGAGAAAGGAGGACUGGGUUUCUUGCUUGCACAGUUUGCAAGGGAAAAUUUCUAGUGGAAAGGCUCUCCUGAUCCAGGCUGCUUGUGAGAGGGUAGGACAAUGUCACCAGGAGCACAGAGAAUUAUAGCUGGGAGACUUUGGGAAGCAUAAAUGGCAGAAACAGGAGAGCCAGAGGACAAACAGAAAGGAGAUAGUUAAGGAAGCCAUUACAAAACUACCCUCAUGAUUCCUUUUUCCUGCAUUUUUCAAAAACAGAGAAAAGGGUGGCAAAGGCAAGAGAAGUACGAAGGCUUCUCAGCAGUGUAGUCAAACCUCCUGAUUUUACAGCUGAAACUAGUCUUAGGGAGUGAUAUCACCAGGCAGCUGAGCCAAAUCUAAAGGACUGCUGGUAUCAAAAUGAUGCUUCUGCUUCCAGUCAUGCUGCUUUCUUUGUACAGGCCUGGUGCUUGUCUGACUCUUUAAUGAGCUCAUGCAGCUCAGUAAAUGGCAAGAAAAUUAAUUCAGUAAAAAAUAUACCGGUCCAGGAAAGGAGAAGAAUUGGACACUGUGAGAAUGGAGACUGCAAUGAGUGGGAGAAGUACAAACAUCAGAAUUUUGCUGCACAUUUGGGGUGUUUUGGGGGGUGCCUUGCUCCUAGUUGAUGCUUAACCUCUCACUUCAUCUCCUAGGUGGGGCUUCCCUCAAAAUGGCACAGGAUGAACACGCCUGAGCAGGGAGGUGACUGGAGAGGUAAAGGAAGGUCACCCCUGGGGCAGAGAGAGGAUUGAAUGGGACUGCAGCAGCCCAGCAGGAUGCUGACAUGGGGAAGAGUGUAGUACAAGAGGAACCAAGAAGGAAAGGGGACACUUGCAGAGUAACCACAGAAGGUUACUGCAACAAGCACUGGAAAAAUGCUUGAGUAUAGAGUAAUGGUCCCAUCUUCCUAAUCUAGCUUUUAAAGGGUUUAUUCUCAUCUAUCCCUGUAGCUGCCCCUGAAGGUGCUUAUGACCCUUAUUUAGCCAUACAUUUCUUUAAAUUGAGUUUUGAUAAGAGGACAGCUGCUGCAUUUUUAUUAUCUGUGAUAAGCAGCAGUAAAAUCUGUUUAGAGUUCAUGAUGGAAAUGUAUCCAUAUAUUGGCAGUUCUCCAGCUGCACUUCACAAAGGUAAAUGGGACAUGAGAGUGGUGAACUGCCCCCUUUUAAUCCAUUUUCUCUAGACUAGGGCACUUUGCCUCUCUGCAGGAGAGGCCAGCACAGCUACUGUGCUAAUAAACACUCAUUCCUCACUGCAGCAUCUGCACUUCCCAGACUCAUAAAUCCAAGCAACUUGUAGUUGAAUAGCAAUUAAAUAUCCACGUGCAUUUCCAUAGCACGGUCUGGUGCACAAGGCAUAGGCUAAGUGGCUGCACAUCUGCUGUCUGCUCCCCCACACGUGCUGCUUGACAGAGCGCGAUCACUUAACCUUAUCCUGCCACCAGUAAUGGUACAUGGAAAAUUGGAUGCAGAGCAUCAUCCUACAGGAUUUCCAGGCCAUGGAUUCAAUCAGGCUGUUAAUGUCAGUUGGAAAUGAGACAUCAAAUUGAAAAGUUACUUGAUAUUCAGGACACUGAUAUAUCCUCACAACAGUUUUGUGUCACUUGUACAAAACCCAGAGACUUGGUAAUGCAGUAAGAUAAAUGUAGUGCCUGAUUACAGUGGAUGUAUCGGACUUAUAAAAGGCAUCUCUUAUCAUGAGGCUGUGUGUAUCUGCAAUAAUAACCACCAUAUGUCAGGUAAGACAAAGAUAAUGUGAGCCAGAUCAUUUUCCCAUUGUUAAAACUGCCAAAAUCCAAAAAGCUACAAAUGUCUUCAUUAUUAAUUCAAUUUUGCUACAUCUAGUGCUGGUAGCUGGAGGGAACAUCUUUCUGAGGUUCAAUUUUUCCUCUAGUCUAACUGAUAACAGUCUGUGUAGCAGAGUUUUAAAUUCUAUAGCCAUUUAAAGAAGUAGAAUUGUACACAGUCAUUGCCCAUCUUGAAUUUCCAUGCAGCAGGAUUUUACCACAUGAAACUGCAGUUCAGAUGUUCUCAUCUUGAACAAACAGAUAAGCCUUGCACUUUGCUUUGAACUUAACGUGAAUUUAACAGUGGUGAAGCUGUAUGAGGCACCAGCCUGUCUUGUGUCUGACUGUACAGUGUUUUUGUUGUACAGUUGCCUAUCAAAAUGCUUCCCCAUGGAACUGGCAGAAAUCUUGAAUUCCCUCCCCAACCCCCACCCCGUGUGUUUGUCAGCUGCAGACCAAGUCCCAGCCAGAUCACAAGAACAUCCUGAAUCAGUCACAAUAAUUUGCAUUUCCUUGCCAAAGAUUUUAUCUGCUGGGGGUGGAAAUUGUGCCAUCAAGGUUGCUGGUGUUGAAAAAUCUGCACCCUUCUGCUCCUCAGCUCUUCCUUUCCCAGCUAGGUUAAUUUAUCCAGAAGAAUUAAUUGAAGGAACAAAGCUGACAAGUUAGAAAGGCCACACAGCAAGACAGCACCACUCUGAACAUCUGCACAGUUUGUGUAUUUGAUUAAGUACCUCAGUACUGGCAGAUUAUUGUUGUUAAAAGCAAAUCUUACUUUUGCCAUUUUCAUACAAGACUCUCUCCUGUUGUUCUGCAGAUGUUUGUUCUCUGUAUCUCUACAUUGCUUAAAAAUGAUGAAUGAUGAUAGUAAAAAUUACACAUGCUCAUUCAAACAUCUUGCUGUUUACAUAUAAGAAAAAUCAUGUGCUGGGGCGCAAUGACCUAAUGAGAGAUGUGACAUGGCCUUCAGCAAGAGCUGGAAGGGACCCUCAAAAUCUACUGCUUUCACACAAAUUGUCCUCCAAUAUAUAUAAUGAAAACCUUCUUUUGUUUUUAAUGACAGAUGCCAGGGGUUGUAUGUUUGAGUAUUAUUUUUUCUCUAGGAGUGCUUAUUAACAAAUGCUUGCAAGUUUUAUGAUGUGGUGAAAAAUGUAUCACUCAUGAUAAACAGGAAGUGCUCAGAGGUAUUGCAUUACCCCAUAAUGCAACACAGAUUCCAACAGCUUGGCUCUUUUUCUCAAAAUAUGGUGACACCACUUCCUUUAGGAAAUCUCUCUUCUCUUCACAGCUUUUAUCUGCUAUAGAUAUGCAAAACUGCAAAAGAAAUAUUUCUUUUUUAAAAUGGUGAUUCAUCAGUUUUGGACUGUAGAUACUAAUGUCUAUCAUUUAUACAGAAUCUAUUAAAAAUAAGCAGUAAAGACCUUUUGAGCUGUCAGAUCAGUGGAUUGAACAAAGUGAAAGGAAAGAAGACUGAUACCUGCCGUCUCUCUAGCAGCAUAGGUGUAGACAGCAAAGAUGCAGAUUUCCCUGCAGCCUGCCCAGCAGAGAAGAGGGAAUCCUGUUUCCUUGCCACUUGCCCAGGAAAGCCCAGUGUGAUAGUUUGUAUGUGGAACCUUCAUCCAGAAUUGCUGUGCUAUUGGCCUGCAGCUUACUCUAAAGGCUGCCAUGCACUCGUCAUGGAAUGUACAGCCAUUAAUGCUGGCUGAAUGUUCAACCCUGGUGAAAAUCUCAGAGUGCCAUUAGUGUACUGUUCCCUAUCACUUGUUUCUGUUCAGCCACUGCCCAUGGUUUAGAUUACAUCUAAUCAAGGCAAGUAGGACGUGUACUUGUGCCACCAGAGUCAUCAGCCGCACGCGUUUGUGCUGAGCGUCACCCCGGCAGACGCCACGUCAGGGAAAGCAAGUCCUGGUGAGCUCUUUUUAGCAGGCCUGGCACCAGUCCCCAAACUGGUUCUCCCUGAAUAGACUUGUGUGUCUGCCAGGGGCUUCACUUGCACACAGCCAGAUGCAGUGGGGUCUGGAUAUCAGCCCUCCAACCAAGGCCCUUCUAUUCCCACAGCCCAGUCCCACUACCUGUUCAUUUUACUUGUAAUUUACAUUCUCCCCCUCCAUAUUCUCUUUUAUUCAUUCUUGCAUCACCUUUUUUCCUCUGUCUUCACAUCAGCCAACCUCUUCAUUACAAAAGUUCCCUACAUUUUUUGCUAUGAGCAAAAAGCAUUAAAAAUGCAAUAUUUAGACAACAUAAAAUCCUAAUAAUCCUGUUUUUACAUGCUUUGACUUCUGCCUCUGCUGGAGGCAUCACUUGUCCUGCCUACAGCUGAACCAAAAAUAAGUGUGGGGGAAACACACUGCAUGUUCUAGUAUUUGUAAAUUAUUAGACUUCUGAGGUUAUGUAAUAAUUUUGUAAAAUUAUGUAAAAACUUUUAAUUUAUUAGCAGUCAAUUAUACCAGAAACAAGAGACUAAUAUUAUGUACUAGCUAAAUCUUAUUGUAAGAACUUAAUAGCCUUCCAGUGUACAAGGCUUCAGCACGGGAAAACAGGUGUCAUGUAGCAGGACCUCAGUGAAGACUCACAAGUCGCUGUAAUAUGCUGUGUAAAUACUUAAUAUGCGUAUGUUUCAUUUUGCCAGUCCUGUAAAUUAACUUUUUAUCUGGUUAUUCAAUUCUCUUAUCAUCCUCAGCUUGUUUACUGAAUUUCAUGUCUUGGGCAAGAUGAAGCAAGCUCAUGAGGAGUAGCUGGUUUUCAAAAGAUACAAGCUCCAGAUAACCGAGGACAAGUAAGGCACACAACAAUAUUGAAAUCACUCAGAGUUUUAUUGCAGCUGACUGAGACAGAGUGUGCUUUGAGGCUGGGAAAUUUCCAUUACUGAACUGCAGGACAGUGCUUGGAUACUGCUACAACUGCAGUUGAAAAAUAAAAGCAACUUAAUUUUAUACAGACAGCUACAAAAUCUUAGUAUAUUAAUUAAAAUAGCUAGAUUUAUAUGAUAAGCUUUUAAGGUUGCUGUAAAAUAGAUCCCUUUAAAAAUAUUUAGAGUAUGAUUGUAAACUAAUUGUUCAAAACUAAAGAAUAUGAAAAUGAUUUGAAAUUGCAACUGUGUUUUCAAACUGUAUUUGUGAACAGCAAAACUAACCAGAACAUGAUAGAUAAUACAAGAUAUCUCCUACAACAGUGACAGGUUCUGACAGUGACAGAAUGAUACCCAGUGCAGGAUCAAGGCUGUUACUGACAGAAUCAUUCUGCAAUUAAUAAUCUUUUGUGCUCCCCUUGGCAUGCACAGAACAACCACAGCAAUCUGUUUACUCAUCUUAACUCCAUGGUGUCUAAGCUCCAUGCAAAGUCCACCAGAAUGUUGAAUGCAGAAAAAAGGAAAUACUGGGGAGGAAAGUAAAUUUCUUCUGGCACCAAGGCCCAGCAGUGUGGAUGAGAGAGUGUUUUUAACCUCCCAGCAGUGCGAGAUUACAGCAAGAGCCUCAUUUUCAUUAAGGUCACUUUACACUGCAAAAGCAGUGGUCAUUCACAUGAAGAUGAGUCUCAAGGGAUUUCUGAUGUGUGUCACCUGUUCAGUCAAGCCCAGGUAGGUACUGACUAGAAGUUAUUACCAGCUGACGCUCUUUCUGAAUCUUAGGAUAGUUCCCUGUGGAUCAGAGCUCAUAUCUAAGCAAUUUCAAGAACCAUCACCAUGGUUCCUGAGUGCCUUAGAAGUUAAAAUAUAUCUUUAUAAAACAUUUUAACAUGUCUUAUUUCUCUCUCUCAUCACCCCCACACAAAGGCUUGAGGUCUUUUAAAAUAAUUCUGGUAAAACUGUAUGUACUUAAUGCCAGUGUUUGGUUGGGAUGAUGGGGAGGUUCAGGUUCAUGCUGACAUACUUGUACAACAGCUACCAAGAAAGCCAUGGCUGCAAAUCACACAGCCGGUAUAAUUAAGAUGAUUUUAGGAGAUGUGGCUUCAGUUUUAAAUUAGCACAAAGAUCUGAGAUGCCUCCCACCCCCACUACAGAGGGACACCAUAGGGCAGCUCCAUGGUGUUUGUCCUCAGUCUGACCCAGCACUGCUGAUCCCAGGGCUCAGGGGCCCUGUGGUACAAUGUUCCCUUUUCAAGAGACCUAUUUACA